rnacentral:rRNA from 1 species
GACGAACGCUGGCGGCGUGCUUAACACAUGCAAGUCGAACGGAAAGGCCCUGCUUUUGUGGGGUGCUCGAGUGGCGAACGGGUGAGUAACACGUGAGUAACCUGCCCUUGACUUUGGGAUAACUUCAGGAAACUGGGGCUAAUACCGGAUAGGAGCUCCUGCUGCAUGGUGGGGGUUGGAAAGUUUCGGCGGUUGGGGAUGGACUCGCGGCUUAUCAGCUUGUUGGUGGGGUAGUGGCUUACCAAGGCUUUGACGGGUAGCCGGCCUGAGAGGGUGACCGGGGACAAUGGGACUGAGAGAGGGACCAGAGUCCUACGGGAGGCAGCAGUGGGGAAUAUUGCACAAUGGGCGGGAGCCUGAUGCAGAAACGCCGCGUGCGGGAUGACGGCCUUCGGGUUGUAAACAGCUUUAGCCUGUGACGAAGCGUGAGUGACGGUAAUGGGUGAAGAAGCACCGGCUAACUACGUG